rnacentral:rRNA from 1 species
UACGUGGGGGGCUAGCGUUGUCCGGAAUCAUUGGGCGUAAAGCGCGUGUAGGCGGUCCGGUAAGUCCGCUGUGAAAGUCCAGGGCUCAACCCUGGGAUGCCGGUGGAUACUGUCGGGCUCGAGUCCGGAAGAGGCGAGUGGAAUUCCUGGUGCAGCGGUGAAAUGCGCAGAUAUCAGGAGGAACACCAAUGGCGAAGGCAGCUCGCUGGGACGUGACUGACGCUGAGACGCGAAAGCGUGGGGAGCAAACAGG